AAAAGAAGUUCAAGAACAGCUUCAGAAUGAAGCUUUCUUGAUGGAGGGGAGCGGCAGACGGGUGAGUAACGCGUGGGAAUCGACCCAUCUCUACGGAAUAACUCAGGGAAACUUGUGCUAAUACCGUAUACGCCCUUAGGGGGAAAGAUUUAUCGGAGAUGGAUGAGCCCGCGUUGGAUUAGCUAGUUGGUGGGGGAAAGGCACACCAAGGCGACGAUCCAUAGCUGGUCUGAGAGGAUGAUCAGCCACACUGGGACUGAGACACGGCCCAGACUCCUACGGGAGGCAGCAGUGGGGAAUAUUGGACAAUGGGCGCAAGCCUGAUCCAGCCAUGCCGCGUGAGUGAUGAAGGCCCUAAGGUUGUAAAGCUCUUUCACCGGUGAAGAUAAUGACGGUACCCGCAGAAGAAGCCCCGGCUAACUUCGUGCCAGCCGCCGCCGUAAUAC
rnacentral:rRNA from 1 species